rnacentral:lncRNA from 1 species
AGUGUGUUUUACCUCACUUUUGGUAUACAGUUCCAGCUUCGUCUCUUGCAGAUGGUUAACUCCCGGAUCGUAGUGGUGCAGUUGUCAGCGCCCCGGCGGGGGUCUCUACAAGGCAGUCAGAAGCUUGGUUAACUCCCGGAUCGUAGUGGUGCAGUUGUCAGCGCCCCGGCGGGGGUCUCUACAAGGCAGUCAGAAGCUUGGUUAACUCCCGGAUCGUAGUGGUGCAGUUGUCAGCGCCCCGGCGGGGGUCUCUACAAGGCAGUCAGAAGCUUGGUUAACUCCCGGAUCGUAGUGGUGCAGUUGUCAGCGCCCCGGCGGGGGUCUCUACAAGGCAGUCAGAAGCUUGACAAACGCGCCAUUCUGGAAUGAUUUUCCUAAAUGCUGGCGAGGGUUCCGGUGACCACUACAUGGCCCCAGACGGCUCACUGGUGUUCUUGUCUCCUGAGCAAAACCAAUUGCUUGCACCAGUUUCCGUCUCGCAUCUCCCUUCCCCAAGUCAUCCUUCAGACGCGUGAAACGAGGGCUGGAAAGCACUUAAAACAUUUCAGGGUGCAUGAAUACUAAUGCCUACAGCUGGUAUCAAGCAAACUCUUACUGCUAGUCAUGGCAGAGGCUUCCAGCUAGUUAGUAGCAAAGACAAGGACGACUUCAGUUAUCGCCAGAAGUGGGAUCCUGUUCAUGUGACAAGCGUCAACGAGCGAGGCACGACGACCUGGUGGUGGUCAUGUGACAAGCGGCAACGAGCGAGGCACGACGACCUGGUGGUGGUCAUGUGACAAGCGGCAACGAGCGAGGCACGACGACCUGGUGGUGGUCAUGUGACAAGCGGCAACGAGCGAGGCACGACGACCUGGUGGUGGUCAUGUGACAAGCGGCAACGAGCGAGGCACGACGACCUGGUGGUGGUCAUGUGACAAGCGGCAACGAGCGAGGCACGACGACCUGGUGGUGGUCAUGUGACAAGCGGCAACGAGCGAGGCACGACGACCUGGUGGUGGUCAUCCUGGUAUAUUGUCCUACAUAAUUUCUCACUGGAGGGCUUGGACGAUCGCAGCCAGACAAGGCAACGAGGACUGUCUCGGGGUACUGAAGAACAUCUAUAACAGAGGCGUGAAGUGGCACCACAGUGCCUGUCACCACGUAAAGUCUCUCAACUGAGACCAGCUUUUGAUAUGUUUUUUUGCCAGAAAAUGGCCUGGUUUCAUGAAUGGUACAAUUGUAAAAUAUUAAAAUUUACACCAGCUCAUAAUCCUCUUGAAUACCUUAAUCAUGUCUCUUAAUGUUGCAAGUCUACACAACUUGCCACCAAGGACCUGAAGUGUCUUUAGUUUCUCUGGUGCUACAUAGCCUUCCCGGUUUGGUGCCUUUUUUAUACUUCUCAUAACUAUUCGGUUAAGGAAAACUAAUGACUUGUGACUUUCAUGUACAAAUAACAAGCAAUUGGAACAAUGCAGGGGGAGUUGUGGGUAUGUGAACCACUACAUGUAAACCCCCCCCCCCCCCCGGGCUAGGUAUCUAAGAUGUAUGUAUAUAUUCACUGUACAUUGACUGUAACCAUUGUGUGA